GGAAGUAAAAGUCGUAACUAGGUCUCCGUAGGUGAACCUGCGGAGGGAUCAUCACAGAGUUCAUGCCCUACCGGGUAGAUCUCCCACCCUAUGUUAUUAUUACUUUGUUGCUUUGGCGGGCCGUUAGGCUCCGGCCCGACUACCGGCCCCGGCUGGUAAGCGCCCGCCAGAGGACCCAAAACCCUGAAUAUUAGUGUCGUCUGAGUACUAUAUAAUAGUUAAAACUUUCAACAACGGAUCUCUUGGUUCUG
rnacentral:misc_RNA from 1 species